GGAUGCGUAGCUCAGUUGGUAGAGCAGCUGACUCUUAAUCAGCGGGUCCGGGGUUCGAGUCCCCGCGCAUCUA
rnacentral:tRNA from 1 species